rnacentral:rRNA from 1 species
UACGUAUGGUGCAAGCGUUAUCCGGAUUUACUGGGUGUAAAGGGAGCGUAGACGGCUGCGUAAGUCUGAAGUGAAAGCCCGGGGCUCAACUCCGGGACUGCUUUGGAAACUAUGCAGCUAGAGUGUCGGAGAGGUAAGUGGAAUUCCCAGUGUAGCGGUGAAAUGCGUAGAUAUUGGGAGGAACACCAGUGGCGAAGGCGGCUUACUGGACGAUGACUGACGUUGAGGCUCGAAAGCGUGGGGAGCAAACAGG